rnacentral:rRNA from 2 species
GAGUUCUGAUUAUUGAAAGGUGCUUGCAUCUUGAUUUAAUUUUGAACGAGUGGCGGACGGGUGAGUAACACGUGGGUAACCUGCCCUUAAGUGGGGGAUAACAUUUGGAAACAGAUGCUAAUACCGCAUAAAUCCAAGAACCGCAUGGUUCUUGGCUGAAAGAUGGCGUAAGCUAUCGCUUUUGGAUGGACCCGCGGCGUAUUAGCUAGUUGGUGAGGUAACGGCUCACCAAGGCAAUGAUACGUAGCCGAACUGAGAGGUUGAUCGGCCACAUUGGGACUGAGACACGGCCCAAACUCCUACGGGAGGCAGCAGUAGGGAAUCUUCCACAAUGGACGCAAGUCUGAUGGAGCAACGCCGCGUGAGUGAAGAAGGCUUUCGGGUCGUAAAACUCUGUUGUUGGAGAAGAAUGGUCGGCAGAGUAACUGUUGUCGGCGUGACGGUAUCCAACCAGAAAGCCACGGCUAACUACGUGCCAGCAGCCCGGGUNAAUACA